rnacentral:rRNA from 1 species
ACAGGGAUUCCCUUAGUAACGGCGAGCGAACAGGGAAGAGUCCAGCGCCGAAUUUCACGUCCGUACCGGGCGUUUGAAAGAUGUGGCGUUUAGGAGGGAGCGUGCCGGAGGUUGACCAUGCAGCAAGUCCCCCUGACCGGGGCUCUUACCCAGAGCGGGUGCGAGGCCCAUAGUUGCUAAGUCUCCUUCGGAUGCGACCUCUUGGGAGUCGGGUUGCUUGGGAGUGCAGCCCUAAUCGGGUGGUAAACUCCACCUAAGACUAAAUACGGCCGUGAGACCGAUAGCAAACAAGUACCGUGAGGGAAAGUUGCAAAGAACUUUGAAGAGAGAGUUCAAGAGUACGUGAAACUGCUCAGAGGCAAACGGGUGGGCCCUCGAAAUCCUCUUGCGGGGGGAUUCAGUCAGGAGAGAAGGAGGUGUUCGCUGGUUGAUUCAGACGGACCCUUUCCAAGGCCGGGCCGGCAGCACGGUCUCCUUCUCACCUGACGCAUUUCCUCCCGCACUAUGGACGCCGCAGCCGGUUGGGUAGCUGCGCGAGUCGGCCAUAAGGACGGGCGCGGCAGGUGACCGGGGGCGUUGCUUCGGCGCGCCGCCGGUUGUUAGCCAGCUCGUCCGUGGCGCGACACCCGACCGAGGUUGUGAGUUCCCUUAACGGGAACGUGCCGUCCCCUCCCCACGAGUAGCGGGCGCUCCGGCAGGUGCAUCGCGGUGCCGUCUCGUCACUCUUCGCAGUGGCCGAAUGGUCCGAGUUCGCUGCUGGUCGGAAGUCGUCCCGCGGGGGUUUUCCCGGGGCUAGCGGCGAGUAGGU